GGUUUGUUCCAGAUACCUCUCCGCGGCACAUAACACACCGAGCCUGACGUUGUCCUGUGCGUGUGCGUGUGUGUGUGUGCGCGCAGGGAACAGGAGCUGAAGGUGUUCCACGCACGGAGGAGUCUAGAAGACGCGCUGAUGGCCGACGGGCUGGCUCGGGCAGCGGAAUCCACCAGAGACAUGUAGGACCACACUGCACUGGAGCCUGCCACGGCACCCUUGGCCCCAGGGACAGGUUCCACCAUGCUGAAGAAUCUCCUGCAAGAACAACUGCCAGUCUGCUUAAGAAGUCCUCGACAGAUCCAUGCACAAUGUUAUACCUUACCUAACCAAUAGCUUCAACCAAGGCCUUUUAGACUAAAAUAUAUUUUUUAUGUACAUAUCUAUAUAUAAUUUCAGAACAAUGCUUAUUUUGUGUCCGAAUUUUGAAUUGAGAUACCUUUUGUUUUAUAUAUAUAUAUUUAUAUAUAUAUAUAUAUAUAUAAAAGCAAAAAUAAUGAGCAAUACUAUAUUAACUUGGGAACUUUUAAAGUCAGGUUGCAAUCUGCUGGAUUGGUAUUGCUAACUAUUGUAUUAUUUUUUUUCUUUUUUUUUUCUUUGGUGUUGUUGGUUCUAAGGGAUUCAUUGUUUUCAGGGUUUGUAACAAAUCUUUCAUGAAUUUACAUGAAUGGAAACUGCUUAUUUAAGAGAAGAUUUUAUACCGUGAGAGAAAAUACUUGUACAUUUCUUGCAUUACUUAGAGUAAAUAAAUGAUUAUAUACACAUGCA